rnacentral:rRNA from 1 species
UACGUAGGGGGCAAGCGUUGUUCGGAAUUACUGGGCGUAAAGGGCGCGUAGGCGGCACGACAAGUCGGGAGUGAAAGCCCGGGGCUCAACCCCGGAAUGUCUCUCGAAACUGUCGAGCUAGAGUGCAGAAGAGGCAACUGGAAUUCCCAGUGUAGCGGUGAAAUGCGUAGAUAUUGGGAAGAACACCAGUGGCGAAGGCGGCGACCUGGGCCAAUAUUGACGCUGAGGUGCGAAAGCGUGGGGAGCAAACAGG